AAUGGGGUGAAGCUUUAGUUUUAAAUUACUUCUUAGAAGGACUUUGCGUGUCUAACGCGAGGAAGAUUGAGGCAAUAACAGGUCUG
rnacentral:rRNA from 1 species